UACGUAGGUGGCAAGCGUUGUCCGGAAUUAUUGGGCGUAAAGCGCGCGCAGGUGGUUUCUUAAGUCUGAUGUGAAAGCCCACGGCUCAACCGUGGAGGGUCAUUGGAAACUGGGGAACUUGAGUGCAGAAGAGGAAAGUGGAAUUCCAAGUGUAGCGGGUGAAAUGCGUAGAGAUUUGGAAGGAACACCAGUGGCGAAGGCGACUUUCUGGUCUGUAAUGACACUGAGGCGCGAAAGCGUGGGGAGCGAACAGG
rnacentral:rRNA from 1 species